rnacentral:rRNA from 1 species
GAUGAACGCUGGCGGCGUGCCUAAUACAUGCAAGUCGAGCGAACAGAUGAGGAGCUUGUUCCUCUGACGUUAGCGGCGGACGGGUGAGUAACACGUGGAUAACCUACCUAUAAGACUGGGAUAACUUCGGGAAACCGGAGCUAAUACCGCAUAAUAUAUUGAACCGCAUGGUUCAAUAGUGAAAGACGGUUUUGCUUUCCUUUAUAGAUGGAUCCGCGUCGCAUUAGCUAGUUGGUAAGGUAACGGCUUACCAAGGCAACGAUGCGUAGCCGACCGGAGAGGGGGAUCGGCCACACUGGAACUGAGACACGGUCCAGACUCCUACGGGAGGCAGCAGUGGGGAAUCUUCGGCAAUGGGCGAAAGCCUGACGGAGCAACGCCGCGUGGGUGAUGAAGGUCUUCGGAUGGUAAAACUCUUUGGUUGGGGAAGAACAAAUGGGUAAGUAACUAUGCACGUCUUGACGGUACCUAACCAGAAAGCCACGGCUAACUACGUG